rnacentral:rRNA from 1 species
AUUGAACGCUGGCGGCAUGCCUUACACAUGCAAGUCGAACGGUAACAGGUCUUCGGAUGCUGACGAGUGGCGAACGGGUGAGUAAUACAUCGGAACGUGCCUAGUAGUGGGGGAUAACUACUCGAAAGAGGGGCUAAUACCGCAUGAGAUCUACGGAUUAAAGCAGGGGAUCGCAAGACCUUGUGCUACUAGAGCGGCCGAUUGCAGAUGAGGUAGUUGGGGGGGUAAAAGCUUACCAAGCCGACGAUCUGUAGCUGGUUUGAGAGGGCGAUCAGCCACACUGGGACUGAGACACGGCCCAGACUCCUACGGGAGGCAGCAGUGGGGAAUUUUGGACAAUGGGCGCAAGCCUGAUCCAGCAAUGCCGCGUGCAGGAUGAAGGCCUUCGGGUUGUAAACUGCUUUUGUACGGAACGAAAAGCCCUGGGUUAAUACCCUGGGGUCAUGACGGUACCGUAAGAAUAAGCACCGGCUAACUACGUGCCAGCAGCCGCCGUAACAC